rnacentral:rRNA from 1 species
GAUGAACGCUGGCGGUAUGCUUAACACAUGCAAGUCGAACGGACUCUUCGGAGUUAGUGGCGGACGGGUGAGUAACGCGUGAGAAUCUGGCUUUGGGUUCGGGACAACCACUGGAAACGGUGGCUAAUACCGGAUGUGCCGAGAGGUAAAAGAGAAAUUGCCUGAAGAUGAGCUCGCGUCUGAUUAGCUAGUUGGUGAGGUAAAGGCUCACCAAGGCAGCGAUCAGUAGCUGGUCUGAGAGGAUGACCAGCCACACUGGGACUGAGACACGGCCCAGACUCCUACGGGAGGCAGCAGUGGGGAAUUUUCCGCAAAGGGCGAAAGCCUGACGGAGAAAUACCGCGUGAGGGAAGAAGGCUCUUGGGUUGUAAACCUCUUUUCUUAGGGAAGAACAAAAUGACGGUACCUAAGGAAUCAGCAUCGGCUAACUCCGUG